rnacentral:rRNA from 1 species
GCUAGGAGGUUGGCUUAGAAGCAGCCACCCUUUAAAGAAAGCGUAAUAGCUCACUAGUCGAGUCGGCCUGCGCGGAAGAUGUAACGGGGCUAAAACUAUGUGCCGAAGCUGCGGAUGUAUACUUUGUAUACGUGGUAGGGGAGCGUUCUGUAAGCCGAUGAAGGUGUGUUGAGAAGCAUGCUGGAGGUAUCAGAAGUGCGAAUGCUGACGUGAGUAACGACAAAACGGGUGAAAAACCCGUUCGCCGAAAGACCAAGGGUUCCAGUCCAACGUUAAUCGGGGCUGGGUGAGUCGACCCCUAAGGCGAGGCCGAAAGGCGUAGUCGAUGGGAAAAUGGUUAAUAUUCCAUUACUUCUGUGUAAUGCGAUGAGAGGACGGAGAAGGCUAAAUCAGCCUGGCGUUGGUUGUCCAGGUGAAAGGAUGUAGGCAUGUAUCUUAGGCAAAUCCGGGGUACUCUAUGCUGAGAUCUGAUAGCAAGCUGUACUUGUACAGCGAAGUGGUUGAUGCCAUGCUUCCAGGAAAAGUCUCUAAGCUUCAGUUACACAGGAAUCGUACCCGAAACCGACACAGGUGGUCAGGUCGAGUAGACCAAGGCGCUUGAGAGAACUCUGCUGAAGGAACUAGGCAA